rnacentral:rRNA from 1 species
GACGAACGCUGGCGGCGUGCUUAACACAUGCCAGUCGAACGAAAAGGCCCUGCGCUUGUUGGUUUCUCGAUUGGCGAACGGGUGAGUAACACAUGAGUAACCUCCCCUUGACUGUGUGAUAACUUCAGGAAACUGGGGCGAAUACCGGGUAUGAGCUCUUGCUGCAUGGGGGUGGUUGGAAAGAUUCGGCGGUGGGGGCUGGACUCGCAGCUUAUCAGCUGGUUGGUGAGGUAGUUGCUUCCCAGGGCUUUGACGGGUAGGCGGCCUGGGAGGGUUGACGGCCACCUGGGGCCUACGAGAGGGACCAGACUCCAACGGGACGCAGCAGUGGGGAAUCUUGCACAACAGGCGGAAGCGUGAGGUAGAAACGCCGCGUGCGGGAUAACGGCCUUCGGGUUGUAAACAGAUUUCGAAGGUGACGAAGAGGGCGUGACGGUAAUGGGUCAAGAAGCCCCGGCUAACUACGUG